ACAUGUUGCUAGCUGGUGUCUAUGCAAAUUAAGAUGAAAGAGGAAGCCAGUGAACAAGAAUUAGAAAACCUAAAGACUUUCCUGUCUCAGAAGAGGCUCUGGCUCCACCAGAUCACCAACCAGUUCUGAGGAUGAACCUCCACAUCGUCUUCCUGGUGGAAGGCUCUUUGUUUUUUUACACUGAGCAGCUGGCCACAUUUUUAACAGCAAAAACUGGGCCCUGUGAUGGACUGGUGACCUGUCCAGGGUGAACCCCGCCUCUCAUCUGAUGACUGCUAGAGACGGGCACCACCAGCCCCCCUCACCACCAUUCAAGGAUCAACGUGUUCAGAUCAUGGACGGAAAGAUUUUAAGGCAAAGAAGUCACCCAGAAAUGUUUUUCCACCCCAGGCAUCCGGUCCCAAUCAUUACCAGUUCUGAUGAUGCCACAUACAUAGCGAGU